rnacentral:ncRNA from 1 species
ACAAAAUCGAUGAACAAAACGAGUACAUACAGAGGUACAUCACAGAGAGCCGGGCUUGGUGGAAACCGGUAUGAAGGGCUGUAUGGAAUGGAUUUGGGAGAUGCGAGGUGAAAGAGUGAUUCGAGUAGCUGCAGCCGUAACUCUGCGUUAAAGGGUAGGGUAUCGAGAGCAUAUCUGAUUUCGCAUUAUCAAUCACGUCUAUGUUUUCCGUACCGUAGAAUGAGUCAGACUGGAUGGCAGAUAUUUUCCAUUAUGUGAGAAUAUCUGCUUUUUUUAUAUAAAGUUUGAAGGUCUGAGAACAGGGGUGGCACCACGAUAUUUGUUUAUUCGUCCCCGGC